rnacentral:rRNA from 1 species
CUAACACAUGCAAGUCGAGCGGUAGAGAGGAGCUUGCUCCUCUUGAGAGCGGCGGACGGGUGAGUAAUGCCUAGGAAUCUGCCUGGUAGUGGGGGAUAACGUUCGGAAACGGACGCUAAUACCGCAUACGUCCUACGGGAGAAAGCAGGGGACCUUCGGGCCUUGCGCUAUCAGAUGAGCCUAGGUCGGAUUAGCUAGUUGGUGAGGUAAUGGCUCACCAAGGCGACGAUCCGUAACUGGUCUGAGAGGAUGAUCAGUCACACUGGAACUGAGACACGGUCCAGACUCCUACGGGAGGCAGCAGUGGGGAAUAUUGGACAAUGGGCGAAAGCCUGAUCCAGCCAUGCCGCGUGUGUGAAGAAGGUCUUCGGAUUGUAAAGCACUUUAAGUUGGGAGGAAGGGCAGUAAAUUAAUACUUUGCUGUUUUGACGUUACCGACAGAAUAAGCACCG